UCCAGUUGAUCCUGCUGGAGGCUGCUGCUAUUGGGUUACGACUAAGCCAUGCAAGUCUAGGGGGUUUUCGGACCACCGGCGCAAUGCUCAGUAACACGUUGUUAAUCUGCCCUUAGGUCUGGGACAGCCUUGGGAAACUGAGGGUAAACCCGGAUAGGGGAGUUGUUCUGGAAAGAAUUUUCCCUUAAAGGCAACGCCUAAGGAUGAGACAGCGGCCGAUUAGGUUGAUGGUGGGGUAAUGGCCCACCAUGCCGAUGAUCGGUAGGGGCCUUGGAAGAGGUAGCCCCGAGAAGGGAACUGAGAUACAUUCCCUAGCCCCACGGGGUGCAGCAGGCGCGAAACCUUUACAAUGCACGAAAGUGUGAUAGGGGUAACCCAAGUGCUCAUACACUGUAUGGGCUUUUUUGCUAAGUGUAAAUAACUUGGCGAAUAAGCGGUGGGUAAGACUGGUGCCAGCCGCCGCGGUAACACCAGCGCCGCAAGUGGGAGCCGUUUUUAUUGGGCCUAAAGCGUCCGUAGCAGGUUGAGCAAAUCUCUCGUGAAAUUGUCGAGCUUAACUCGGCAGCGCGCGGGAGACACUACUCAACUAGGGACCGGGAGGAGUGAGAGGUAUUUCGGGGGGAGCGGUAAAAUGCUAUAAUCCUCGAAGGACCACCGAUGGCGAAGGCAUCUCACCAGAACGGAUCCGACUGUGAGGGACGAAAGCUAGGGGAGCGAACCGGAUUAGAUACCCGGGUAGUCCUGGCCGUAAACGCUGCGAGCUAGGUGUUGCGUAAACUUCGUGUUUGCGCAGUAUCGUAGAGAAGUUGUUAAGCUCGCCGCCUGGGAAGUAUGGUCGCAAGGCUGAAACUUAAAGGAAUAGGCGGGGAAGCACUACAAGGAGUGCGGCGUGCGGUUUAAUCUAACUCUACGCAGAGAAUCUCACCAGGGGCGCCGGCAGGAUGAAAGUCAGAUUAAAGGUUUUAUUUGACGAGCCGAGAGGUGGUGCAUGGCGGCCGUCAGCUCGUGCCGUAAGGUGUCCUGUUAAGUCAGGUAACGAGCGAGACCUGUGCCUACAAUUGCCAGCGGGUACUUUUGUAUGACCGGGCACAUUGUAGGGACUGCCUUGGUAACAAGGAGGAAGGUGCAGGCUACGGUACGUCUGUAUGCCCCGAAUCUCCUGGGCUACACGCGCGCAACAAUGGCAGAGACAAUGGGCUGCGACCCCGAAAGGGGAAGCUAAUCCUCGAAACUCUGUCCAAGUUCAGAUUGAGGGUUGUAACUCACCCUCAUGACGAUGGAAUUCCUAGUAAUGGGGUGUUAUCAGCGCCCCGUGAAUACGUCCCUGCUUCUUGCACUCACCGCCCGUCAAACCAUUCGAGCAGGGUUUAGGUGAGGACUAGUUUUUUGAUUAGUUCGAACCUAGUCUCAGUGAGAAGGGUUAAGUCGUUAUAAGGUA
rnacentral:rRNA from 1 species